CACCACUAUCCGAAGGCUUACAGAGGGUUUAUCCAUAAACAGUGGAAUCCCUUAACAUCCGAGAAGAAUGAGGAGCUCAUUUUAGGGUAAGGUGAGGUGGCGAGCUCGUGACCCAGCACCCACUGGUCCCGGACAUGUCUCAGCACCCAUCUGGGAGAAUGACAGGCCACACUGUGGCUGUUCCCGCUGAGGGACCACCACCAAGAUGACGCUCCGCGAGCAAAGGUCACUGUCCUUCACAUGGCCAUCUACGUGCUCAUGACGCUGUGCAGGGCACAGCUCACAGCCUCCGUUCUGUGCUUUGACCUUGAGCACGGACUGGAAACCAAGAGAUAGAAGUACGGAUGGCUCGGCUUGUCAUCACUGCCCAGGAUUAACUUUGGGAAUUUGAAUUUCCUGUCCCCACAGCUCUGGGCGCCAUGGAGUUAAAGCACUUGUUCACAAAGACGGAAUGUGUCCAACAAAGCACUCGGUACAACUCCCACUGAACGAAAAAAAUUGAAUGCAAACUUUGGUGCUGUUGGAGACAAACCUUCAACCAGACUCCCGCUCUGCGAGGGCCGGAAGAUGACCCAGCCACUGUCCUUUGCAGGAAUAGCGCAGGAACACUGGAGAGCAAGCCAGAGAAGGCAGAAGCAAAGGGCAUGACUUGGCUCUAAUACCCAGAAUUCAAUCUGCGCACAGAUACUCAGGUGGAUGCAUUUAUGAGGCUUUUUAAAGAUCACCGUUGAUGCCAAGAACCGAGGCCAAGGAGCGAUGUAUGGACUAAAGUGAGGCACACUCCAGAGCUACAGGGUCGGGAGUCCCAUAGCUCCACUGCAGCUCAUGUCACACUGGAACUGUUAGCCAUUCAUCUGGAUAAAGCAGAUGUUCAGUAUUUCCAUUAUUUGGGAAGAGGAAUACUCUCAUAAAUCAUCUAAUCUCCUUUCUUUCAUUUAGGCCUAGAUUGGUGUAUAUAUGGAUAAACUGAUGUCUUUUGUUUGCUUAAAGAUUCCUAGGCAUUGGUUUCCCUGAUUGUUGUAUUCUAGCAAAGUAGUGGGAACCCGCACACUGGUCAUACAGUCAUUUCUGUGCAUAAAUACGAUGCCACAGGCCCACCACAGUCAAAAUCAUG
rnacentral:lncRNA from 1 species